rnacentral:lncRNA from 1 species
UGAUCGUUAAAAGAAAUAAAAAAACAGAAAAGCGAAAGAGGAAUUGGUGUGAUUUUUGUGUGCAAUUUAUUUGCAAAUAAUUUAGGCAAUUUUUAUAAUUAGUUAUUAUGGUGUACAGAAGUUUCGUUUUAAAAAAAAUAACGAAUUCUUUUCGACGAAAAAAAAAAUUAAAAAAAAAGUGAAUUCGUAUAUUAAUUAAAUAAUAAGUUUACACAAUUGUUUUACCAAAAAAACUGUAGUUUUUAGAUUGAUUUAUUACAAUUUUCAAUUGUAUUUACAAACGUAAGGAUCGUUCUAGACGUAUUGUGUAUUUUGUCACUGAUUCCUAUGACAUGUUAGGUAAUUUUUGUGAGUAAUUGUACAUAUAGUUCUCUUUUAAUUAAUUAAUUAAUUAUUAUUUUAAAUCGAAUGCAUUUCAGAAACUCCGGCUGAAGUUGGAGUUUUGGAAAUAUGUAUCUUUUGUUCACAUAAAAUUAGUGCUAUUAUUAAUUUUAUAUUGAACAUGAAAAUUUAAAUAGCUAAAAUGUGACGACCGCUGGGAAUAACAGAAAAAUUAUUUUCGUUAGUUUUUGUUUUCUCGCUGCCUUGCACUAAUUUUAUGUGAAUUGAAUUUUGAGACUGUCAAUAACUGAUUUUAGUAUAAAUAUUGGUAAUAAAUACUGCAAAGUAUUUGUACAUAAAUGUAUGUUGUAGCCAAUUUUACUCGUCAUCAGUUUUAGGCAUUAGUUGAGAAAGUUUUUCAGCUCAAUUACAAAAAAAAUAAUAAAUCGAAGAAGCUGCAAGCUCAAAACUGCAUUAAAAAUUUCAGGCAGCACGGAGAUACCACCGUGAUAUUAUUUUUAAUUAUCAUUAAUUAAUUAUACAUAAAUAAAUUAGGAUUAUGUUCGUCGGUGGUCUUCGUGUUGCCCGUCAGUCAGCCUUUUUUGUUGCAACCAUGUUUUUUUGUUUGUUUUUUUGUUUUUGUAACUACGUUUCCAUUUUUCCGAGAUCUCAGUCAGUUGUACAUAAAUUUUACUAAUAAUUGUAAUCUUCCUUUUUAAGUAUGGUCAGUCUAUGUUAAUGUCGACUUAGCAUUCACUAAUGUAAAAAAUAAACAAUGCUAAAUAGCAACAUCUGAGUAUUAAUAUGUAAUUGAAAAUGUUUGGCAUAAAGUUGUUUAUAUCUCUGCCUAAUUACGAAUAAGCUUUGUGUUUUAAAUCUUGAACACAUUGUACAUGAUUUAACAUACAAAAUCAUCUAUUUUAAUUCCGAAAUGAAUACAAGCAGAUUAUUGCUAAACAUAUUUCUUAGUAUUUAAUUUUAUGUUUAAUUUAAAAUCAAUCAUUACCCUAUGUAAAGAAUAAAUCAAUUGAACAAUACUUAUUUCGCUUCCACCAGUUAGUAAAACUGAAAUAUAAAAAUGCGUAUGUUUUUCAAUUGACGGUACAUGAAAUCGUUCAGUAGUAUUAUUUAUGCGUACACGUCUAUCUUUAAAUUCAUUUUUUCUGAUAUUACAAAAACAAUGGAUUAACCUAAACUUAAACACAAAAUGAGCCUUACAAAUGCAUAUUUAACACCUGAAGUUGUUUUUUAUGUUGAACCGUCUGUCUUUCUUUAUACAAACAUUUUAAUUAUCUUUCUGAAAAUUCAAAACGCUUAAUUAAAAUGCAUGCCUUCCAUCAAUUUUCAUUUUAUUCAAUUUGAAAAACCCCCGCAGAAAUAAUUAUGAUUCUUGUCUACAGAGGGCGCAACGCGAAUGCUUCCAUGUUCUUUUCAUCUUAAUUUAAUCUAUGAUAUCUGAUGACAUUUAUCCAACCUUUAUCUACGAUUUUUAUAAUUUGCAAAUGGCUGUGUGAUGAAUUCGUGUUCGUAAUAAGAAAUUUAAAAUUUUAUUGUAAAAAUUUCUGCUUAAAGUCAUGUAAUUGUCGAAAUCUUAGUAACACUUGUUGUGGAUUACAAUAUGUAUAUUGGUUUUUUUUGAAAGUAAUUGUUUUCGUAGUGUUUCUUGUAGUAUGUUUGCACAAUACUAAAUACCUACAGGGUUUUUUUCUUCGUAAGGUCCUUGAUUUCAUUAGAUUUGGUUUGAUUUGUGAAGAAAUGGAACUUCUAGUAUAUCUAGCAAUAAGUGCUAUUUUGAAACGCCUUCCUAUCAAUUACAACGUCUAUGCCAUGUUAUAGUAGAUACUGGAGUAAACAGUGAACUCUAAAGGUGAAAAUUGGGCUCUAACUGAUAUGGACUUGAGCAAAUUGGAUGGAAACCUAGAAUUGUCUGAGUUUGAUUAACUGUUUCUGUAAGCAGAAUAAUUGGUCUGAUUUUCAACUGUUUCUGCAAUGUUUCUCUGGUGAUUGGGAUCGGAGCACACUCAAAUUUCUUAUACAUAUUCUGGUUCAAAUCAUUUUUCAUGGAGUUCUUGCAGGAUAGUAUAGGAAUUUUAAACACACUCUGGACACCAUGUGUAGUUGGGUAGUGAUAGUAGAACUCAUCCACAUUUCAUCCCAAUAUGGAACAGUGUCCUUUAUCCACUGGAAUUAGAAACAACAAGGACUUGCUUUGAGAUGACAUCCUUGGAUUCGAUGGACAAACACUACUUAGAGAUUUGUGACGAUGAGACAUAUUUUUAUUUCCUAGAAUGCUUCUAAUGAGCUGGUCAUAAAAUUCACAGGGUGCUAACAAUGAGGUUUCCAUUAAAUCAUAAUAAACGUACAGGGAGAGACGGUAAAUCAAAUGGCCACGAAACGCGGGGAAGCAGAAUCCCAAUCACGCUUCUUUCUCUUGAUCUUGGAAAGGGAUGCAUUUAAACGUAUUAAAUGGACAAGGAGACAGAAAAUAAGAAGAAUUCAAAACCUGGAGAAGUGGAGUCCCUUUAAUUUUCCCUCCCCUUGGGCGUGAAGGUGCAAUUUCCAGAAAGUAAAUGCAAUCCGAAUUACACUGAUGCAUAAAAGGAAGAUUGCGGUGCGAUGUGUGGCUUAUUUCACUUAUUUCCUUUCAUCAGCAUCUACUAUUAAGAGGCACUUCUCUUUUGUCAGCACUUAGGAAUAAAAUUCGAGCACCGUAUAGUAAACCUCAAGAUCGUCUGACAAAUGGGAGAGAAAUAAAGUU